rnacentral:rRNA from 1 species
UACAGGGGGUGCAAACGUUGCUCGGAAUCAUUGGGCGUAAAGCGCACGUAGGCGGUCUGUUAUGUCGGAUGUGAAAGCCCUUGGCUUAACUGAGGAAGUGCGCCCGAAACUGCUUGGCUUGAGUACCGGAGAGGAUGGCGGAAUUCCCCAAGUAGAGGUGAAAUUCGUAGAUAUGGGGAGGAACACCGGUGGCGAAGGCGGCUCACUGGACUGGUAUUGACGCUGAGGUGCGAAAGCGUGGGGAGCAAACAGG